UACGGAAGGGGCAAGCGUUGUUCGGAAUCAUUGGGCGUAAAGGGCGCGUAGGCGGUUCGUUAAGUCCUGUGUGAAAUCCCCCGGCUCAACUGGGGAACUGCACAGGAAACUAGCGGGCUUGAGUUCGGGAGAGGGAAGCGGAAUUCCGGGUGUAGCGGUGAAAUGCGUAGAUAUCCGGAGGAACACCGGUGGCGAAGGCGGCUUCCUGGACCGACACUGACGCUGAGGCGCGAAAGCUAGGGGAGCAAACGGG
rnacentral:rRNA from 1 species